rnacentral:lncRNA from 1 species
AACGAAAUUGUUGAGCUUUAUAGUCCCAUUAUCAAGCCCCACGUUUACCCAUAUCAAAUCAGAAACAACAAAAUCAGAAAAUCAAAGAUUGGAUCAAAGAAAGGUAUGAAAUCCCUAAUUCUAAAAAUCCUUCGAUUUGUUGUUAAAUGUUGCAAUUGAUCGUUGAAAGUUGUGUAAUAGGGUGUCAAUUGAUGUUCUGGGUUGUUAAAUCCAUGACCCAUAACAUCAAUGUUCAUGAUUUUGAAUUUUUAGCAAAUCUGGAAAUUCGAAAAUUUUCGUUUUACAGCCAAAUGUC